AGAGCGAACGCUGGCGGCAGGCCUAACACAUGCAAGUCGAGCGCCCGUAGCAAUACGGGAGCGGCAGACGGGAUAGUAACACGUGGGAACGCGCCCUUCGGUUCGGAAUAACUCAGGGAAACUUGAGCUAAUACCGGAUACGCCCUUACGGGGAAAGAUUUAUUGCCGAAGGAACGGCCCGCGUCCGAUUAGCUAGUUGGUGAGGUAAUGGCUCACCAAGGCGACGAUCGGUAGCU
rnacentral:rRNA from 1 species